rnacentral:rRNA from 1 species
GAACGCUGGCGGCGUGCGUAAUACAUGCAAGUAGAACGCUGAAGGAAGGAGCUUGCUCUUUCCGGAUGAGUUGCGAACGGGUGAGUAACGCGUAGGUAACCUGCCUGGUAGCGGGGGAUAACUAUUGGAAACGAUAGCUAAUACCGCAUAACAGUAGAUAUUGCAUGAUAUCUGCUUGAAAGGUGCAAUUGCAUCACUACCAGAUGGACCUGCGUUGUAUUAGCUAGUUGGUGAGGUAACGGCUCACCAAGGCGACGAUACAUAGCCGACCUGAGAGGGUGAUCGGCCACACUGGGACUGAGACACGGCCCAGACUCCUACGGGAGGCAGCAGUAGGGAAUCUUCGGCAAUGGACGGAAGUCUGACCGAGCAACGCCGCGUGAGUGAAGAAGGUUUUCGGAUCGUAAAGCUCUGUUGUAAGAGAAGAACGAGUGUGAGAGUGGAAAGUUCACACUGUGACGGUAUCUUACCAGAAAGGGACGGCUAACUACGUGCCAGCAGCCGCGGUAAUACGUAGGUCCCGAGCGUUAUCCGGAUUUAUUGGGCGUAAAGCGAGCGCAGGCGGUUAGAUAAGUCUGAAGUUAAAGGCUGUGGCUUAACCAUAGUACGCUUUGGAAACUGUUUAACUUGAGUGCAAGAGGGGAGAGUGGAAUUCCAUGUGUAGCGGUGAAAUGCGUAGAUAUAUGGAGGAACACCGGUGGCGAAAGCGGCUCUCUGGCUUGUAA